UGGGGAAUAUUGCACAAUGGGCGCAAGCCUGAUGCAGCCAUGCCGCGUGUAUGAAGAAGGCCUUCGGGUUGUAAAGUACUUUCAGCGGGGAGGAAGGCGAUAAGGUUAAUAACCUUGUCGAUUGACGUUACCCGCAGAAGAAGCACCGGUUAACUCCGUGCCAGCAGCCGCGGUAAUACGGAGGGUGCAAGCGUUAAUCGGAAUUACUGGGCGUAAAGCGCACGCAGGCGGUCUGUCAAGUCGGAUGUGAAAUCCCCGGGCUCAACCUGGGAACUGCAUUCGAAACUGGCAGGCUAGAGUCUUGUAGAGGGGGGUAGAAUUCCAGGUGUAGCGGUGAAAUGCGUAGAGAUCUGGAGGAAUACCGGUGGCGAAGGCGGCCCCCUGGACAAAGACUGACGCUCAGGUGCGAAAGCGUGGGGAGCAAACA
rnacentral:rRNA from 1 species